rnacentral:rRNA from 1 species
CGAAGGGGGCUAGCGUUGUUCGGAAUUACUGGGCGUAAAGCGCGCGCAGGCGGUCUUCCAAGUCAGUGGUGAAAGCCCGGAGCUCAACUCCGGAACUGCCAUUGAAACUGUUGGACUUGAGGAUGAGAGAGGUGAGUGGAAUUCCCAGUGUAGAGGUGAAAUUCGUAGAUAUUGGGGAAGAACACCGGUGGCGAAGGCGGCUCACUGGCUCAUUACUGACGCUCAGGCGCGACAGCGUGGGGAUCAAACAGGAUUAGAUACCCUGGUAGUCCACGCCGUAAACGAUGAAUGCUAGCCGUUGGGCAGCUUGCUGUUCAGUGGUGCAGCUAACGCAUUAAGCAUUCCGCCUGGGGAGUACGGCCGCAAGGUUGA